rnacentral:misc_RNA from 1 species
CCAAUAGCGUAUAUUAAAGUUGUUGUGGUUAAAAAGCUCGUAGUUGAACCUUGGGCCUGGCUGGCCGGUCCGCCUCACCGCGUGUACUGGUCCGGCCGGGCCUUUCCCUCUGUGGAACCUCAUGCCCUUCACUGGGUGUGACGGGGAAGCAGGACUUUUACUGUGAAAAAAUUAGAGUGCUCCAAGCAGGCCUAUGCUAAAAUACAUUAGCAUGGAAUAAUAAAAUAGGACGUGCGGUUCUAUUUUGUUGGUUUCUAGGAUCGCCGUAAUGAUUAAUAGGGACAGUCGGGGGCAUCAGUAUUCAAUUGUAAGAGGUGAAAUUCUUGGAUUUAUUGAAGACUAACUACUGCGAAAGCAUUUGCCAAGGAUGUUUUCAUUAAUCAGGAACGAAAGUUAGGGGAUCGAAGACGAUCAGAUACCGUCGUAGUCUUAACCAUAAACUAUGCCGACUAGGGAUCGGACGAUGUUAUUUUUUGACUCGUUCGCCAGCUUCCG